GCGGUCAUGGUAUAUGGGCUGUGCCUCGGUCUGCCAGACCGAAGAAACGUGUUCGAGUCACGUUGCCCGCU
rnacentral:tRNA from 1 species